AUUUGAAAAAAUAUUUUUUAAGAAAAAUCAUCAUGAAGAUAGGUUGCAUUCUCAUAUUCUUAUGUACUUUCUUCUUCUUCAACCUUACGUUCGGAUCAGUAAGCACCGAAGCGAAUCAAUCCUUUUGUCCGCGUCACUUGGACUUGCCAGGCAAAUGUAGCGAUUCUCGCAGUUGCGGUCAAGAUUUGAAUGCUGCAUUUGGAGCAAGCGCCAUGGUUCAAGACUGUAUUUGUGAAGAUCUUCCCAACAAUAUGCACCGUUGCACAUGUUGCUGCAAAUGUCAAGUAGUGAAAGAUAGAAAGACACUAUUUCUUGCAAGCAUGUUUGUUGAUGGUCAACUAAAAUGUAAUUAAAUCUAAAGUUUCAUGUUAUAAUUAAUAAUUACAUCACAUUCCAAUAUAUGUGUUUUUAUUUUUAA